rnacentral:rRNA from 1 species
CAAUAGCGUAUAUUUAAGUUGUUGCAGUUAAAAAGCUCGUAGUUGGAUUUUGGGUCGGGGGCACCGGUCCGCCGUUCCGGUGUGCACUGGUGGCCCCUUCCUUUCUGCCGGGGACGUGCGUCGCACUUAAUUGGGUGGCGUUCGGAGUCGGCGUUGUUACUUUGAAAAAAUUAGAGUGUUCAAAGCAAGCCAUCGCUCUGAAUACAUUAGCAUGGAAUAACAUGAUAGGACUCCGGUCUUAUUUUGUUGGUUUCCGAGACUGGAGUAAUGAUUAAGAGGGACAGUCGGGGGCAUCCGUAUUUCAUUGUCAGAGGUGAAAUUCUUGGAUUUAUGAAAGACGAACUUCUGCGAAAGCAUUUGCCAAGGAUGUUUUCAUUA